UUGAAUGGCCGCAGUAAUUUGACUGUGCAAAGGUAGCAUAAUCAUUAGUUUUUUAAUUAAAAGCUUGUAUGAAAGGUUGGACGAGGUAAAUUCUGUCUCUAUUUAAUUUAUUAUAGAAUUUAAUUUUUAAGUUAAAAAGCUUAAAUUUUAGUAAAAGACGAGAAGACCCUAUAGAGUUUGAUAUAAUUUUUUUUAAGGUUAAUUAAGAUUUAUUUAAAUUUUAUGAUUAAUUAUAUUUUAUUGGGGUAAUAGAAAGAUUGAAAUAAUUCUUUUUUUUUAUUUUCAUUAAUUUAUGAAAUUAUUGAUCCAUUUUUAUUGAUUAAAAGAUUAAAUUACCUUAGGGAUAACAGCGUAAUUUUUUUGGAGAGUUCAUAUCUAUAAAAAAGUUUGCGACCUCGAUGUUGGAUUAAAGAUUAAUUUAGGUGUAGAAGUUUAAAUUUUUGGUCUGUUCGACCAUUGAAUCUUUACAUGAUCUGAGUUCAGACCGGCGUGAGCCAGGUCGGUUUCUAUCUUUAUUAAAUUGAAAUAUUUUAGUACGAAAGGACCAAAUAUUUGAUAUAUUAAUAUUUACAUUUUUUUGAAUAUAAUUAAAUUAUUUUGGCAGAUUAGUGCAAUGAAUUUAGAAUUCAUAUAUGUAAUUAAUAUUACAAAUAAUACUUGUUUUUUUUAGAUUUAAUAUUUUCUCUAAUUUGUAUAUUGUUAUUAAUUAUUUGCGUUUUAGU
rnacentral:rRNA from 1 species